GAUGAACGCUGGCGGCGUGCUUAACACAUGCAAGUCGAACGGAAAGGCCCAAGCUUGCUUGGGUACUCGAGUGGCGAACGGGUGAGUAACACGUGGGUGAUCUGCCCUGCACUUCGGGAUAAGCCUGGGAAACUGGGUCUAAUACCGGAUAGGACGAUGGUUUGGAUGCCAUUGUGGAAAGUUUUUUCGGUGUGGGAUGAGCUCGCGGCCUAUCAGCUUGUUGGUGGGGUAAUGGCCUACCAAGGCGUCGACGGGUAGCCGGCCUGAGAGGGUGUACGGCCACAUUGGGACUGAGAUACGGCCCAGACUCCUACGGGAGGCAGCAGUGGGGAAUAUUGCACAAUGGGCGCAAGCCUGAUGCAGCGAGGCCGCGUGGGGGAUGACGGCCUUCGGGUUGUAAACUCCUCUCGCGAGGGACGAAGCGUUUUUGUGACGGUACCUGGAGAAGAAGCACCGGCUAACUACGUG
rnacentral:rRNA from 1 species